CCAAUUUAAAUAAGCAACAGAUUUCUCAGACCCCUCAUUCCCCACAAGAUUCCACCUCCAUUUACAGAUCUCUCUGAAACAGAGACAGCAGCAGCAGAAGGAAUGGAAGAAGUCUCUUGUCUAAAGCCAGAGAAAUCUUUAUGAUCAGCACAUUACCUGUAACAGUAUCACAGUAAUUGAGCAAUCUUACUAUCUCAGACAAGUAGAGCAGGAGAAGAAAAUUGUCUGCACACACGAACCAUAUUGCAUUCUCCAAUCAAAUAAAGUAUGUUUUACAUUACAUGAAGAUCAGGCAAAGAGAAAAAAAAGCUCUGAAUAGCCUAGAAGCUUAUUAUAUAACAUCUACACACAAAAUAAAUGAAAAGAAACUGACGUAGAAGGCCAAUUCAACUUAUUGAUCCUCCUAGCUCUCUCUAUGUUUUCUUCCUUCUUUUUUUUUUUUUGUUUUUCUUUCUCUCUUUUCAAUAUUCUUAUAAACUUUGGCGAGGUGCCAAUUUGUAAGUACAAUGUUUGUUCUGUACAACUAGCUAAUCAAUAGCCGAAAACUUAUGGAACAUCGAAUACCCCCAUUCGGGUUCCAUAACAACACACAAAAGAAUGAGAAACAAUUAAAAAAAAAA